GUGCUCGCUUCGGCAGCACAUAUACUAAAAUUGGAACGAUACAGAGAAGAUUAGCAUGGCCCCUGCGCAAGGAUGAUACAAUGUUACUCAUCACCAGAAAGUAAUACUC